rnacentral:rRNA from 1 species
AGCGAAAGCGUGGGGAGCGAGCAGGAUUAGAUACCCUGGUAGUCCACGCCGUAAACGGUGGGCACUAGGUGUGGGGACUUUUCAACGGUUUCCGCGCCGCAGCUAACGCAUUAAGUGCCCCGCCUGGGGAGUACGGUCGCAAGACUAAAACUCAAAGAAAUUGACGGGGGCCCGCACAAGCAGCGGAGCAUGUGGCUUAAUUCGAUGCAACGCGAAAAACCUUACCUAGAUUUGACAUGCUGGGAAAAGCCACAGAGAUGUGGUGUCCUUCGGGGCUCAGCACAGGUGGUGCAUGGCUGUCGUCAGCUCGUGUCGUGAGAUGUUGGGUUAAGUCCCGCAACGAGCGCAACCCUUGUUCUAUGUUGCCAGCACGUAAUGGUGGGGACUCGUAGAAGACUGCCGGGGUCAACUCGGAGGAAGGUGGGGACGACGUCAAGUCAUCAUGCCCCUUACGUCUAGGGCUGCACACAUGCUACAAUGGGCGGUACAGAGGGCUGCUAAACCGCGAGGUGGAGCCAAUCCCUAAAACCGCUCUCAGUUCAGAUUGCAGGCUGCAACUCGCCUGCAUGAAGUUGGAGUUGCUAGUAAUCCCGGAUCAGCACUGCCGGGGUGAAUACGUUCCCGGGCCUUGUACACACCGCCCGUCAAACCACGAAAGUUGGCAACACCCGAAGCCGGUGGCCUAACCGCAAGGAAGGAGCCGUCGAAGGUGGGGUCAGUGAUUGGGGUUAAGUCGUAACAAGGUAGCCG